rnacentral:misc_RNA from 1 species
UCCGGUUUGUCACCGGCAGUCCCAUUAGAGUGCCCAACUUAAUGUGGCAACUAAUGGCAAGGGUUGCGCUCGUUGCGGGACUUAACCCAACAUCUCACGACACGAGCUGACGACAGCCAUGCAGCACCUGUGUCCAGGUUCCCUUUCGGGCACCCCUCCAUCUCUGGAGGCUUCCGUACAUGUCAAGGGUAGGUAAGGUUUUUCGCGUUGCAUCGAAUUAAUCCACAUGCUCCACCGCUUGUGCAGGCCCCCGUCAAUUCCUUUGAGUUUCGGUCUUGCGACCGUACUCCCCAGGCGGUCGACUUCACGCGUUAGCUUCGUUACUGAGAGUGUCAAACCCCCAACAACCAGUCGACAUCGUUUAGGGCGUGGACUAC